GAUCCUGGCUCAGGAUGAACGCUGGCGGCGUGCCUAACACAUGCAAGUCGAGCGAAGCGAUUGGAAUGAGACUUCGGUGGAAUUUUGAUUGACUGAGCGGCGGACGGGUGAGUAACGCGUGGAAAACCUGCCUCAUACAGGGGGAUAACAGUUAGAAAUGACUGCUAAUACCGCAUAAGCGCACAGCACCGUAUGGUGCAGUGUGAAAAACUCCGGUGGU
rnacentral:rRNA from 1 species